rnacentral:rRNA from 1 species
UAGGGAAUCUUCGGCAAUGGACGAAAGUCUGACCGAGCAACGCCGCGUGAGUGAAGAAGGUUUUCGGAUCGUAAAACUCUGUUGUUAGAGAAGAACAAGGACGUUAGUAACUGAACGUCCCCUGACGGUAUCUAACCAGAAAGCCACGGCUAACUUCGUGCCAGCAGCCGCGGUAAUACGUAGGUGGCAAGCGUUGUCCGGAUUUAUUGGGCGUAAAGCGAGCGCAGGCGGUUUCUUAAGUCUGAUGUGAAAGCCCCCGGCUCAACCGGGGAGGGUCAUUGGAAACUGGGAGACUUGAGUGCAGAAGAGGAGAGUGGAAUUCCAUGUGUAGCGGUGAAAUGCGUAGAUAUAUGGGGGAACACCAGUGGCGAAGGCGGCUCUCUGGUCUGUAACUGACGCUGAGGCUCGAAAGCGUGGGGAGCAAACAGG